rnacentral:rRNA from 1 species
UCACCUAGGCGACGAUCCGUAGCGGGUCUGAGAGGAUGAUCCGCCACACUGGGACUGAGACACGGCCCAGACUCCUACGGAGGCAGCAGUGGGGAAUUUUGGACAAUGGGCGCAAGCCUGAUCCAGCCAUGCCGCGUGAGUGAAGAAGGCCUUCGGGUUGUAAAGCUCUUUCGGCCGGGAAGAAAUCGUGGUCUCUAACAUAGGCCAUGGAUGACGGUACCGGACUAAGAAGCACCGGCUAACUACGUGCCAGCAGCCGCGGUAAUACGUAGGGUGCGAGCGUUAAUCGGAAUUACUGGGCGUAAAGCGUGCGCAGGCGGUUUUGUAAGACAGAUGUGAAAUCCCCGGGCUUAACCUGGGAACUGCGUUUGUGACUGCAAGGCUAGAGUACGGCAGAGGGGGGUGGAAUUCCUGGUGUAGCAGUGAAAUGCGUAGAGAUCAGGAGGAACACCGAUGGCGAAGGCAGCCCCCCUGGGCCUGUACUGACGCUCAUGCACGAAAGCGUGGGGAGC